GGGCUCGUGGCGCAAUUGGCAACGCGCUCCCAUGGCAUGGGAGAGACUACGGGUUCAAAUCCCGUCGAGUCCA
rnacentral:tRNA from 1 species